rnacentral:rRNA from 1 species
GAUCCUGGCUCAGGAUGAACGCUAGCUACAGGCUUAACACAUGCAAGUCGAGGGGCAGCAUGGACCCAGCUUUGCUGGGUUUGAUGGCGACCGGCGCACGGGUGAGUAACGCGUAUCCAACCUGCCCUUUACUCCGGGAUAGCCUCCUGAAAAGGGAGUUUAAUACCGGAUGUGUUUGUCUUUCCGCAUGGGAGCGACAAAUAAAGAUUAAUUGGUAAAGGAUGGGGAUGCGUCCCAUUAGCUUGUUGGCGGGG